AGCGAACGCUGGCGGCAGGCCUAACACAUGCAAGUCGAACGAACUCUUCGGAGUUAGUGGCGGACGGGUGAGUAACACGUGGGAACGUGCCUUUAGGUUCGGAAUAACUCAGGGAAACUUGUGCUAAUACCGAAUGUGCCCUUCGGGGGAAAGAUUUAUCGCCUUUAGAGCGGCCCGCGUCUGAUUAGCUAGUUGGUGAGGUAAAGGCUCACCAAGGCGACGAUCAGUAGCUGGUCUGAGAGGAUGAUCAGCCACAUUGGGACUGAGACACGGCCAAAACUCCUACGGGAGGCAGCAGUGGGGAAUCUUGCGCAAUGGGCGAAAGCCUGACGCAGCCAUGCCGCGUGAAUGAUGAAGGUCUUAGGAUUGUAAAAUUCUUUCACCGGGGACGAUAAUGACGGUACCCGGAGAAGAAGCCCCGGCUAACUUCGUG
rnacentral:rRNA from 1 species